AGAUUGAACGCUGGCGGCAGGCCUAACACAUGCAAGUCGAGCGGCAGCACGGGAAGCUUGCUUCCUGGUGGCGAGCGGCGGACGGGUGAGUAAUGCAUAGGAAUCUGCCCGGUAGUGGGGGAUAACCUGGGGAAACCCAGGCUAAUACCGCAUACGUCCUACGGGAGAAAGCAGGGGACCUUCGGGCCUUGCGCUAUCGGAUGAGCCUAUGUCGGAUUAGCUGGUUGGUGAGGUAACGGCUCACCAAGGCGACGAUCCGUAGCUGGUCUGAGAGGAUGAUCAGCCACACUGGGACUGAGACACGGCCCAGACUCCUACGGGAGGCAGCAGUGGGGAAUAUUGGACAAUGGGCGCAAGCCUGAUCCAGCCAUGCCGCGUGUGUAGAAGAAGGUCUUUCGGUUGUAAAGCACUUUCAGUGGGAAGAAGGCCUUAAGGUUAAUACGCUGAGGAAGACAUCACCCACAAGAAGAAGCACCGGACUAACGUCCGUGACCG
rnacentral:rRNA from 1 species